UAUUACACUGUAUUGUGUCUGUAUUAUGUAUUUAUUUUUUCCCGCUACUUUUAGAUACUCUUAGCUGCUCCCUCUGGACCAAGUGAGCUAAAACUCGAGAAUUAUAGGUGAAUUGAUGUGAUAAAAGUCGAGUUGAAUAUUUCAAUAUGAAUUUCACCGUGGGUAUCUUUUCAGCUUUAAACACACCUAUACAGUCCCCUUACUCCAAAAUAAAAUCAUAGAGUGUGAUAAAAUGUUAUAUAUGCAUGGGGUUAGAAUCAAGAAUGUGCUUUUAGGGGUUUUCAACUUUUAACCCCCAUACUUCCCCCUUCCACUCGUAUACUUAGGUUU